rnacentral:lncRNA from 1 species
AAUUCCUGCCAUGGUUUGGUUAACAUAAGCCAAUAAAUUACUCUUUUUGCCUUUGCUGGCUAGUGUUUCUGACACAUUAGUCCUGACUAAUGACAACAGGAAGAUAAUUAACUCUGAUUUUGAUAUAUUACAUUUGAAAAGACUUCUCUAGAUGGCAAGGAGCUCAAGAGAAAAAUCAUGGCUAGAAAUAUAGAUGUAAAAGCCACCUUUAGAUAAGUGGUUGUUAAAGCUAUAGAAGUGGCUUCUAUAAAGCUAUAGAAGUUCACCCAGGAUAAGUGUGGAAAGUGUUGAGAGGCCAAGGAUGGAACCUUGAAGAAUGCUAAUAUCCAAGAAUAUGCAGAAGAGGAGGAAGCAGCUGUUUCUAACUCGUACCAUUUCUGAUGUUAGCCAGCCCUUCCAAUCUUACAGCCCUCAGUGGGAAAAAGGUAGUCUAUUAGAAUUCAUUAUCGUGUCCCUAGCUUUGGGAGUUUUUUUUUU